rnacentral:rRNA from 1 species
GAUGAACGCUGGCGGCGUGCCUAAUACAUGCAAGUCGAGCGAACAGACGAGGAGCUUGCUCCUCUGACGUUAGCGGCGGACGGGUGAGUAACACGUGGAUAACCUACCUAUAAGACUGGGAUAACUUCGGGAAACCGGAGCUAAUACCGGAUAAUAUAUUGAACCGCAUGGUUCAAUAGUGAAAGACGGUUUUGCUGUCACUUAUAGAUGGAUCCGCGCCGCAUUAGCUAGUUGGUAAAGUAACGGCUUACCAAGGCAACGAUGCGUAGCCGACCUGAGAGGGUGAUCGGCCACACUGGAACUGAGACACGGUCCAGACUCCUACGGGAGGCAGCAGUAGGGAAUCUUCCGCAAUGGGCGAAAGCCUGACGGAGCAACGCCGCGUGAGUGAUGAAGGUCUUCGGAUCGUAAAACUCUGUUAUUAGGGAAGAACAAAUGUGUAAGUAACUAUGCACGUCUUGACGGUACCUAAUCAGAAAGCCGCGGCUAACUACGUG